GACGAGGGGGCCUAGCGUUGUUCGGAAUUAUUGGGCGUAAAGCGGGUGUAGGUGGUUUGGUAAGUCAGGAGUGAAAGCCAUGGGCUCAACCCAGGAAGUGCUUUUGAUACUGCUGAACUUGAGUAUCGGAGAGGGUAGUGGAAUUCCUGGUGUAGUGGUGAAAUACGUAGAUAUCAGGAGGAACAUCGGUGGCGAAGGCGGCUACCUGGCCGAAUACUGACACUCAGACCCGAAAGCGUGGGGAGCAAACAGG
rnacentral:rRNA from 1 species